GUUAUUUUGAAAAUAAGUAUUUGAGACUGGAAUACGCUCUUGACUAUUUUGAGAGUCAGUGAAGAAAGAAACAAAAAUAUCUACAGUAAGAGACAAGCGAGCAAGAGGAAUGAGUAAGGAAAGAUGAAGGCAGAUGCAUCCAGUUGUGUGGAUUCCAGGGCUGGAUGUGAUAUGGAAGGCCAGUGGUGACAGAGGCAAUGCUACAACAUGGGUGUCUGACCACUGGACUCCUGGAAGAAGCACCAUCAUCCCUUCUGUGAAUUAUGAUUGGCAAAAUUCUUCAUCUUGGGAAAGAUCUGAAGUGAGUUACAUAAAGCAGCUGCUGUUGGCAUUGCUUCCAUUCUUACAUGACCUAAUUGCAUGGAAAAGGAUGACUUAUGGUUAG
rnacentral:lncRNA from 1 species